CUGUCAUAUGAAAAGCAGAACAGCCUCACAUCGUCAGGUAAUCCUGAAGCGAACAAACCAUACUCUGCCAUUGAAAACACGGAAAUUCAAUCCUCUGUGUCAAGUGCUAUCAUAGACACACCACCUAUCUUCCUGGCAUUGAUAUUCAACUCCACUUGGUGUCUUGGAUUUGCUGAAGAAUGUGCAUUGAUGGUGAACAACAGGGUGGAGAGGUCAAAUAGAAACAGGUGAAAAUUGGAGAGAUUGAAAGACUGACCAGGAGAAACUCAUGGGGCGCCUGGGUGGCUCAGUCGAUUAAGUCUC